UCAUUUCCAUUGCGACUCACCAGCUGAUAGGAAGCCUUUACGUGGCGGGAUUUUCAAAAUGAGUACUCAUGACAUGGAUCAAAAGCCGGAGCCUGACCGCAAGCCGAGGAUACUAGAUGAAACAGCGUUUCAAAGAUUCAGCAUUGGCUCAAAUUCACUGAAGACAAUGGCCCAGUUCUUGGAAGCUCGGAGACAAAUGGAGGCGCAAGUUUCCGUUCUCAUGUCCGAUUUUGUUGAUGGGUGGAAGAAAACACUGCACAAGACCGUCGAUAUUGAGUAUGGAACAAUGAGACACCUAUGGCAGCAGAUCAUUGCUGAGAAUCUGGAGACUGCACAUAUUCACGAUCGUGUGAAGAAUGAGCUCGGACGCUAUGACGGUCCUCUUGAAAACUUGCGUUCCUACAUGAGGGCACCAAUCCACCAGAAAGCUGAGGAGAUUCUUGAGUACUACAAAGACACUCAAGACAGGCACAAGAUCAUCCUGGAGAGCAUCAGCACAGCCAAAAGGAUUUAUCAUGAAAGGAUGAGGAGACUUGAAGAUGCCAAGGAAGAGAUGGAGCGAAAGAAAUAUCGCAGCAAGUCUUCAAAAAAGUAUCGUGAGCUUGACUGCAGGAUACUUCGUCUUCAAGGUGAUGUUGAGAGAGGCCGCUUACAGUACCUAGAGCGUCUGAAUCAAGAGAAAGAAGAAAGACCUCUCUAUCUCAAAAGCAUGAAGAAAGCAAAGCGUAGCUUUGACAGACUUGAGAAGGACAGACUCACACAUGUGAGAGAUAUUUUCCUGGAAACUGUCAAGAUUUCAGAGCUUCAAGAAGACCGGGGUAGCAGAGAGACAUGCACAAAUGAGCUGCGCCGCAACCUUGAGAACCUCAAACUGGAGCAGGAGAUACUGAAGUAUGACAAGGUGUUCCUAAAAGACUAUGACAUCCCAGCCUACCAGGAGUAUGUCCCUCACCAAUAUGACGAGGAGGAGGAGGAAGAAGAAGUAGGAGAAGAAAGGUCUGAUGGAGAGCAGGAACCAGAAAUCAUUGUGGAGACAGCAGUGGAGAGCUUGACCACCACGGAUCAGCUCCCGAAUCGCCAACUUCUGCCACCGCUGCAGCAGCAGUCUAUCCCAGUGGUUCAGGACAUCCAGGACGACCAGCUCUGGUGGGCACAGAUCAGACCCACCAGGAGAACAAUUGAUCCUCUCACAGCCCCUCCACCCACCACACUCAGGGAUGUUGCAACUUCCUUUGUUGAGAAGAAACUGAAACAUCACAAUAAGUCACCUGAACCAUCCUCCAGCGAGGACGAACAUGUUCCCUUCUAUGCUCCUGGUGGAACAUCUAACAUGACAAAUGUGAGAGUCAAGGUCAUUCGAGAACACGGUGGAAGGGGUCCAAAAGAUCUGCCUAAACUCAGAAUUGGUCAGACGAUCAAGCAGAAGACUGUAGCCAAUGAACAUGGCAUGGCCUAUGGAUGGAGACGAUCCAAACUCACUGGGCGUAAGAAGUAUGGCAUGUUCCCUGUUGAAUGCACUGAGCUCAAGCCAAAGUCGAAAUUCUCUGACCACAUCUUUGCCAUUACUCGCAGAAACUAGUAACUUUCCUAUCUCUGCAAGAAACUGAAUAUGCGUUUUGAAAGAAAUCUUAACCAUUGGAAUACCUUUUAGGCUACAGCAUAUCAAUAUUUUCUUUAUUGUAAAUUUAAAUUAAGACUGAAAUUAUUUUAUAACUCUUAAGACGGUAAGCUGAAGUGUUUUUGAAACUAAACCAUUAACCCAAGUAAGUGGGGAGGAUUUCAUUUGAAAUUUUGUAAAUUUAUUCUUUUAGACAUUUUGCUGAUACAUACUGUAGUUUUAUGGAUAAUUGUGUGAUAUUUAUAUACUUUGAUGCUUUGAUAUUUUAUGUCUUUAUUUCAGUGUUUAUUGUUUGAUAUUGAUGUAAUACAAUUUGAUAUAUAUAUUCUAACUGUUUCCGAUCACCAGUGUUGAGAAAACCAGGCCAGUCCCCUACCAGUAUGUUAAAUCUGUUUGUAAUGUAAGAGUUAGCUUUACAUUACAUCAUUUUAAUUUCUAUUCAGUUUCAGUGUGUGGACUUGUAUGGGAGACCUUGUUCAGUAAUGAGAUAACAUAGGUACCCUGGCUAUUUGCAUCAGUAAUGAGAUUACAUAGGUGAGCUGGCUAUUAAUACGAUUAUGAGAUUGCAUAGAUAAGCUGGCUAUUAAUACGAGUAAUGAGAUAAAAUAGGUGAGCUGGCUAUUUACAUGAGUAACAAGCUUACAAAGAUGACCUGGCUAUUUACGUGAGUAACGAGAUCACAUAGGUCACCGGGCUAUUUACACGAGUGUUGAGGUUACAUAGGUGACCUGGCUAUUUACAUGAGGAACGCGAUUACAAAGGUAUCCUGGCUAUUUACAUGAGUGAUGAGGUUACAUAGGUGACCUGACUAUUUACAUGAGGAACGAGAUUACAAAGGUAUCCUGGCUAUUUACAUGAGUGAUGAGGUUACAUAUGUGACCUGACUAUUUACAUGAGGAACGAGAUUACAAAGGUAUCCUGGCUAUUUACAUGAGUGAUGAGGUUACAUAGGUGACCUGACUAUUUACAUGAGGAAAGAGAUUACAAAGGUAUCCUGGCUAUUUCAUGAGGUUACAGAGCUGACCUGACUAUUUACAUGAGGAAAGAGAUUACAAAGGUAUCCUGGCUAUUUACAUGAGUGAUGAGGUUACAUAGGUGUCCUGACUAUUUACAUGAGGAAUGAGAUUUCAAAGGUAUCCUGGCUAUUUACAUGAGUGAUGAGGUUACAAAGGUAUCCUGACUAUUAACAUGAGGAACAAGAUUACAAAGGUAUCCUGGCUAUUUCAUGAGGUUACAGAGGUGACCUGACUAUUUACAUGAGGAACGAGAUUACAAAGGUAUCCUGGCUAUUUACAUGAGUAAUGAGGUUACAGAGGUACUCUGGCUAUUUACAUGAGUAAUGAGGUUACAGAGGUGACCUGGCUAUUAAUACAAGUAGUGAAAUUACAAAGCUACCCUAGCUUUUACAUGAGUAAUGAGGUUACAUAGUUGACCUGGCUAUUUACAUGAGUAAUGAGGUUACAGAGGUACUCUGGCUAUUUACAUGAGUAAUGAGGUUACAGAGGUGACCUGGCUAUUAAUACAAGUAGUGAAAUUACAAAGCUACCCUAGCUUUUACAUGAGUAAUGAGGUUACAUAGUUGACCUGGCUAUUUACAUGAGUAAUGAGGUUACAGAGGUACUCUGGCUAUUUACAUGAGUAAUAAGAUUACAUAGUUGACCUGGCUAUUUAAACGAGUAAUGAGGUUACAUAGUUGACCUAGCUAUUUACAUGAGUAAUGAGGUUACAACAGUGACCUGGCUACAUGAGUGACUGCCAUAGUAACUUUCAAAUGGUACCUGCCAGAGAAGUAUUUUUUUCUGCCACAGAACUGUUACCUUUUAGAUAAUCCCUUCUUUCAAAUUUCGAAACCCUCUAUCCAACUUCUGUCUGCCAUAGAACUUUUCUUUUAGAUAAUCCUUUCUUUCAAAUUUCGAAAAUCAUCUAUCAAACUUCUAUCUGCCACAGAGCUGUUUCCCUUUAGAAUAUCCUUUCUGUCAUAUUUCUUAUGUACCCUUUUCACCUUAUAUUUGUUGAGGGCUAUUUCAAAAGUAAUCUAUCGAAGUUUUGUCUGCCACAAAUGUUUCCAAAUGAUGUUUCCUUUUAGAUAGUUAUUUCUU